rnacentral:sRNA from 1 species
UUUUUUUUUAGUUUUUUCU